AACAGUUUAAGGGGGAAAAAUCUAAACCUCAUUUGGGGGUCCAGAAUUGAUGAUUCCCCAAAGCUUCAUCGAGAGUGCGUGUUGAUCCUGGUUUCCUAUUUGCUUUGUUUAGCACAUUCCUUCACAGAGCCCGGGAGGAGCCUGGGAAGGCAGGCGAAGGGUGUGGGAAGAUGCUGGAAUCCGAGUAGGAGCUCGGAUUGUUGGUGGAACAUAUUGCUGUCUGUGUGGAAAUGUGCACAGCAGUUACCACUUUGGAUGAAUAUGCAUUAGCGACGGUGCUGUAAUCUGCCCGCGUGCGCCACGCUCCACUCGGCGACUUGGCAAGAUGGCGUGCACUACUAGCCGAAGUCCCAGCUUUGCACGAUUCCAACUGGAGAUACACCUCUAACAGCAAGAAGGAGUGCAGAGGUGGUGCCCCAGGAGAAUCAGCCCUGCCUCGCCUUGAUGGGGAGGGGACCACUUCCCCUGGCAAGGAAGGCCCGUCAGGAUUUAGCAGCUCGCUGACCCCAGCCUCAUCAGGAUCCUUCUACACAUCCCCAUCCCAACUUACAGGACCCACUCUUUUCCUCCCAAUACCCACACUUCAACAGGCUGCUUUUAAAAGUUCAUGGAAAAGUGGAGUAAAAAGAUAAAAUGCAAUUUUUUACUGCAAACAAUUUUGAAAUCCAUGCAUUUCUUUGAACCUUUUGAAGACCUCUCAUAGAUAGCGUAUGAGGUUGAAAGUUCAAUUCUCAUUGUACUUGAGACAAUUGUAUAAUGAGGUCUUGCGUGUGGCUCUUAGCAACCUCAGCCCUUUGUCUAAAGGAGAGAAGUUUGGAACAUAAGAUACUGCGAAAUUCUUGGGUCAUUAAUGCUGAGCUGGCACUAAGAAAUCUUAUUCUCAAGUUUGUCUUUUCCUUUGUCCAAUGAGGAUGAGAUUAACCAAUCAGCAUCACUGUGUUCCUUAGUUCCCCACAGUAUUCAGGAGCACUAAGUACAGAAUCCCUAAAUACCUUGCCUCUUAGGAGUGCUGAGUCAGGAGUGUCCAAUGCGCUUAUCUUACAGAUCUCUAAAAACCAUCGCUACUCUUGCUAUUAUUAGAAGUAGAGUCCUUAUCAUUUUUAGGUCUAAUACGAUUAGACAGCCAAUUUCACAAACCACAAAACCAAUUAAGGAAACUCAUCCUUAAAUUUCUGUUCCUCCCAGUACCAAAAUCUGUAUCAGUCAGGAUUCUAUAGGGAGACAGAAGCAGUAGGAUACAUAUCUAUACGGAUGGAGGGAGAUUUGUUAGGGGAAUUGACUUAUGCAAUUAUGGCAACUGAGAGAUUCCAUGGUAAGAUUCCCUGACAGCUGGAGAGCCGGUAUACAAGUUGCUCGGGUCAGUCCAAGUCCAGAGGCCUCAGAAUGAGGGAAGCCGGUGCUGUGACAUUCAGCUGGAGGCUGAAAACCUGAGGACCCCGUGAGAGGGCUGCUGCUGUGAGUCCAGGACUCUAAAGGCCAGGAAGUCUCGAAUGGCCAUGUCUAAGGCAGGAGACCAGCACAUCCCAGCUGUCGGAGAGGGACCCUGGCUUUGACUUCCAGCUUGACGUGAUGGUUUUUCUUCUGUGUAGCUGUGCACGCUCCCACCUCAUACACCUGUUCAAUGACACAAGC
ensembl:lncRNA